rnacentral:rRNA from 1 species
GGCGGCGUAGCUUAACACAUGCAAGUCGAACGGAGUUUUAACGGAAGUUUCGGAUGGAAGUUAGAACUUAGUGGCGGACGGGUGAGUAACGCGUGGGUAACCUGCCUCAUACAGGGGGAUAACAGUUAGAAAUGACUGCUAACACCGCAUAAUAUAGCGAAACCGCAUGAUUUUGCUAUCAAAUAUUUAUAGGUAGUGAGAUGGGCCCGCGUCUGAUUAGCUAGUUGGUGGGGUAAAAGCCUACCAAGGCGACGAUCAGUAGCCGGCUUGAGAGAGUGACCGGCCACAUUGGGACUGAGACACGGCCCAAACUCCUACGGGAGGCAGCAGUGGGGAAUAUUGGACAAUGGGGGAAACCCUGAUCCAGCGAACCGCCGCGUGAGUGAAGAAGUAUUUCGGUAUGUAAAGCUCUAUCAGCAGGGAAGAUAAUGACAGUACCUGACUAAGAAGCCCCGGCUAACUACGUGCCAGCAGCCGC